UUUUGAGUAGGUAGAUUAAAUUUGUAUAGAAUUGGACUUCUGGCAGUGCUUUUUAAUGGCACGGAGGGAACCACCAAGAAUGAAAGGUGGUUGGUUGUUACUUCAUUCCAAAACCAAAUUGAGACGGACAGAAAAUAGAAAUGUCUAGACUGAAGAAUAAAAUAUUUAAUUCCCAAAUGAACCGGUCCGGUCUAGAUUUAUAAUUUUUUGUCUUGUUUGGCCCGAACCAAAAUACAUCAAUUUUAAAAAAAUAUAUUUUAGUUAAAAUUUUAAUAAAAAAUAAACAAAAAUAAUAUAUAUAUAUAUGUAAUGUAAAAUAAAAAUACAUGUUUGUAUGUCCAUACAACCAUUCUUAAUUGCAUACAUAUCUUCAUUGAAAACGUUUUCUACAAAAUAAAAUAACAAAUUGAAUACAUAAAAGGAACUGUAAUAUCUCGAAUAUUUGUGCUUUAGCGUAUGAUCGAAACUUUAUUAAUUUAGACAUAAUGUUUAUAUUCUCUAUACAUUUUAAUUUUUUUUGCUAUGUUUUAUUUGAUAUUUAUUUAUUUAAAAUAUUUAUGUAAAAUCCAAAAAAAAAAAAAAUUUCUUUUCAUUUUUUUAUUAUUAUUAUAUUAUAUUAUAUUAUUUUAAUUUAAUUUAUUCUAUAUAAAUAUAAUUUAGUAUUAAUAAAAUUUAAUUUAAUUUAUUUUAUUUUAAUGGAAAUAAUAAUAAUAAUAAUAAUAAUAAUAAUAAUAAUAAUAAUAAAAAGAGGUAAAAAUUAUUUAGGGAUUUAAUUGGAAACAAUUUUGGAGAAAAUGGGUGAAAAUUUGGAUUCUGGGGGUAUUUUUGAAAGAAAAAUCGAAAAUUGAGGGUCAAAACGUAAUUUAGAAAAGUUGUGUCACGCCAGCUGUCCGAUCAGCAGCCCCGGCCAACGAGGACGCGCCAGGUGACAGAGAUGCUGACGCGGGAGGGAGCCACGUGGGCGAUCCACGUGCGCGCUAUUGAACGGCUGAGAUCCGUUCCCGCGCACAUGGACGACCCAGAUAAAUAACACACACGGACGACCCAGAUUGAAUCGCGCACGGAUGGCCCAGAUUGAAUCGCGAUGAACGGCCUAGAUUCAUUCUCUAUUUAAUCGCAAUCGGACGGUCCAGAUUAAAAGCGAUGGACGGUUCAGAUCAAAAGCGGAUGGUUAUAAAUAAUCUCAUUCACACCCAAACCCUAACCCUAGUCGCCAGAGCCCCUCGUCGGAGAAGACAGCCCAGCCGUCGGGGAGCCGACCGCCGCCAUUCGCGACCGUACCGGAGCAAUUUCUGGCCGCCAAACGAGGUUGACCAGAGCAAAACACCCAACCGCGACAUAAGCCGGAGGAGCUGCCGCACCGGAGAGCCCCACUGCCGGUAAGUUUCGAUUUUUGUAUUUUUUCGGCCCACCGAGGACCCUAAGUGUGUUUUCUCACAGGAACCAAUGCAAGUUUAGCUGAAUUCGGUCGAAAACAGCCAACCAGAGGCGGAUCACCGUCGUGAGCGGCGGCGCUGUCGCCGGAGCACGGCGCUCUAAAAUUGGUCGAGCAAGCCUUGGGUUUGAUUUUUAGGUUAUUUGGGACAUGUGUAGGUACCGUAAGCGCGUUUCAGUUUCCGAGAAAAAAUUCAGAGAACCUAGGGACCGCCCGUAGGCGCAGUAAAAAUUUAGCUUUCGGUGUCAAAUCAAGUAAGGACCCCUCACUCUAUUUCCUAUCAUAGAAUUAAAGUUCGAAUAAAUGGUAAUACUGUAUUUUGUACAAUUAAUAGAUAUGCAUAAUUAAUUAAGGUUGCUAAUGGAGUCCGAAAUCGGACAUUAUUCCCUCUCGAUUCCUGCUUGAUUUAUUUUACAGUUUAAAUGCAUUAUGGUAUAUGGUUUAUCUAUUUUAUGGUUUUAAAUGCAUGAAUCACUACUUACUUCAUUACUGUUUAAUUUUGGGAAUCUAAGAUAUGCUUGCUUUGUUGGAUGCACAUUAUUUAUUUAUGUAUUUAUGUUUGAGUUGGUAACGGAGACUAAGGACAAAUAGGAAUGGGAUGUGAUUUGAUAAAUAGAUAAGAUGACAGCCUCACUAGAUAUCCUAGGAGAUGGUGGACGGACCGGGUUCAUAGGGAACUCUACUGUGAACGUUGUCUCAUAUCGGACGAGUAUAGAGACUUGGUCAUUGGCGCUCAUACUGGACGAGGUAUGAGGAUGACCUGCUUCACCCUCAUACCGGACGGGGUAUUGAGGUUUAUUAUUUUGGCGCUCAUACCAGACGGGGUAUGGGGACGGGAAUUAAGAUUGUUUAAAGGGAAUGGUUCACGUGUAGUGGGGACCCUUAUGGAUCCCCAUGGAUACUAAUAGGUUGGUGAAAAACGAGAAAUGGUGAUAGUCAGUUAUUGUCAAUGAAUACGAGUUUAUGAUGUAUUUUACGUUACUGAUUAUGUAUGAAAUUGUGAUCUGUAUGAUGUUAUUGUCUUUAUAGGUUGUUUUCACAGGUUUCCUAAGGGUAAGAAAAAUGAUAAGUGGUUUUAUUUUAAAUAACUGUAUUGGUUUAAAAUUUGUGCUCCUUUGGUUGUUUUUGGUUUUCUACCAAUAUUUGCUUCUGUGACGAUAAUAUAGUGUGAUGUCCUUACUGAGCUAGUGUAGAUCAUUCCUUAUUUAACCAUUUCAGAUCAGGAGGACCUGGUUCCCGAGCCCGAUCCACAAGAAGACAGCGAGUAGAUGCUAGAUACUUUAUUUUUCUAUUUCUCGUAUUUCUUUUAGAGAACUUAUUCCGUGAUAUUGUUUAGUACUUUUAAGUUAUUGUGUAAGGGAUAUUAACCUUAAUAUUUUAUUUCACUUCUGCACUUAGAUUAUUAGAUGUAUUUCCUUUUGAAUUUUUGGGAUCGUUACAAUUGGUAUCAGAGCCGUGUUCCUUGGACUCGUCAGUUAUACAAUGAUACUUAGAGAAACAUUAAACCAAUGAAUCAUUACUCAACCAUUCCUUGUGAAAUGCAGGUACAGAGAGAUGAGAAGAGGAAGACCCCUACUAAACUGAGUAGCCCGGGAUGGUUCACUUCGGAAAGACGUUGACAGGAUAUUUGAGAUGCUGGAGAGACUCAUUACUGCCCAGUAAGGUCGAGAGGAGAGAAGGGAGCUACCCGAGCCUCCCCCGCUGCCACAGGUUGAGCCACCAUUAUAGCGAGAGAAUCCUGACCCACCCCGGUACGAGCCUGCUCGUCCACAGUACCACCUGGUGCCACCACCGCAGUAUAAUCUGGUGCCCCAGCCACAGUACUGCCCGACACCGCCACAGUAUAAUCCAGUGCCCCCAUUAUAUCAGCAAGUACCACCACAGGGCCUCCCAAUCUAUCCUUAGCCUGGCCCAGUCCCUCUUCUGCGGGACCCAACUCCUUCCAUGAUUGACACAGGCUAUGUAGAAAGGUACAGAAAACUGAACCCAUCUAUUUUUGCAGGGGAAUCCUCUUUAAAAGAUGCCCAGUACUAGUUGGCGGAGACGGAGAAGGCCUUUAAGACCCUAGGAGUGACUACCGAGCAGAGGGUCACCCUUGCUACCUACAUGCUGGUGGGAGAAGCAGACUGCUGGUGGGAACUCAAACAGACCACCCUGCCUGUUCCAGUUACUUGGGAACAGUUUUUAGCAGCCUUUCAUGCAGAGUACCUCCCAGAGCACAUCCGACAUAUGAAGGAGAUGGAGUUUAUCUAGUUGGUCCAGGGGAACAUGACGGUAUCAGAAUAUGCUCGUAAGUUCCUGGAGUUGGGCCGAUACUCCCCUGAGACGCCGAUGGAUGAGGGCAGGAAGGCUAGGAGGUUCCAGUGGGGCCUCCGCCCAGAGAUCAAACAGCAUUUAUUCGUACUGGAGCUCAGGGCUUACUCGGCCGUUCUGGCCAAGACACAGUUAGUGGAGAGGAGCCUCCACACCCUCUCUCAGUCAGUAGGGAACCACAGACCCUCAGCUUCACCCCGCAGACCAGCUCCUACUGCACCUGUCCAACAGAAUAAGAGGCCUAGACCGGUGAUCCAAGCUCCCCCUCAGGCUCCAGUGGCAGGACGUAGUAAGAUCUGUCAGCAUUGCGGUAGGGAUCACGGGAACCGACCAUGCUACCGCCUUAACAACACCUGUCGCAUAUGUGGUAGUGCCCAACACUAUGCAAGAGAGUGACAAAGGAACCAGAAUCAGGGAAGACCUCCUAUCCAAGGCAGGACUUACAACCUCACCCAGUAGGAUGCCGAAGCCGACCCGGACGUGGUACAGGGUAUGUACACUAUCUGUAACCAUCUUGCUCAUAUUUUAUUUGACACUAGUGCAUCACAUUCAUUUGUUUCACAUGUUUUUGCAUCCAAAUUUAAUGUAUUACCUGAUAAACUCGAUUCAAUGUUAUUUGUGUCUACUGCUGAGAGUGUAAUUGGGAGAAGUUGUCUACAGGGUUUGUGCCGUAGAGAUAGCAAAUAGAAAACUGAAUGUAAACCUAAUAGAAUUAGACACGAGGAAUUUUAAUGUAAUUUUAGGGAUGAAUUGGCUAGCGGCGUAUCAUGCCACCGUAGAUUGCUUUAACAUUGUUAUUAUUGUAAAUUUUAUUUUCCAAUUAUUUUAGUUUGUUUAGUUUUAUUUUGUAGCUUUUCUUUGUUCCUUAAUUUUCUAUGUUAUGAAUUUACAAAAUUUAUUUUCCCUUAGUCAAAAAAUUUAUAUUUCAAUGUUUUUUCCAUAAUCUUUAUGAUCUUACCUAUCAAAUUUUUCAAAUCAUUCAUUUUUCUUAUUUCUUUCAACUUUAUUAUCAUAAAAUAAAAUUAUACAAUAUCAAAAUCAAGCAUUCAUACAAUCUAGCAAGCAAAUGAGUAAGAAAACUUGUGAAAAUCUCAAAACAGACCCUUUUUAGACCUAUCUCGACGGUUUUAACUGUUUGGGUAGUGUUGAGAACUAGUUUUUCAAACCAGAUCUACCUCACAUGUUUCCAUGCAUAUAAUUUCACCACAAUUUGAUUAAAACAUUUAAAAAUUGAUUAUAUGAAUGUUUCAGGUUAGUUACUAGUCAUGUGAGAUCCCAAAUACUUGGUGGUAGAAGGGAGCCAGAUAACAGAAACAUACAUGAGUGCUACUAACUAAAUUUAACAAUUAAGCAAAAAAAUAAAAAUCUCUUACACAAAAUCAAAGUUUACAUUACACCUGAGGCCAAUGGUUGGUUAUCCAAAAGAUGAAUAUACAAAAUAUAAUCAUUUAAAAUAUUUACAAGAGUCAUCAGAGCGUGAGUUUUACAAAAGCAUUCGUAACUAUCCGAAAGAUCUGAGAAGGGAUCCAGACAAGCUUCAAAGGGCAACACAUCGAGCGCAUCGUCGCUUUCAUCAUCUGAGGGGCACAUAUUAGGUUGAGUUCCAUAUAAACUCAGUAAAAAAAACAAUAUUGGAACCACAUUACUAAGGUUUGAAAUGGAUGAUUAACCUACAUGGGCUUUAUAAUAUCAUUGACUUACCUCGCAAGCUUUGUCAGAUGAACAACUCAGGUUUAUUUUAAGAAAAUUAUUUUUUUUCAACUCAUAAGAAACAAGUGAGCACAAUAUCACAACAAAGCUAGAAAUAUCAUUGAACAUAUUAUGAACAGAGAAACUAUAGCAUCUACUUAGCCAAGAUAAAUAGAAAUAACAUCAUUUUUAACCUUAACUAUAACCAUAUCUUUAUCAAGUCUUUUACUGAACUUCGCGUGAAAUCGUUGCGACAUAUAUCCAUUGAGGGUGGAGGGGAUCCUCAAUUACCACUAUGAAUGACCCAAACAUUUUAUUAUUCCCCAUUGAGGUCAAUAUAUUUUCCAUUUUAGGACAAUUUCAUAACUUUCUGAGGUCAGUUCCAUAACUUUAUGAGGUUAGUUACAUAACUUUUUGAGGUAUUGUUUCAUAACUUUUUGAGGUAUGGUUCUAAAACCACAUCAUUUUGUGGGUCCACUCUCAUCAAAGGGAAAAUGCCAUUCAUUUACAGGGAGCGGUUCCCCAAUUAUUUAUUCAUAGGAGGGAGAAACAGAAACCCCUAAAAGAUUAGUCUAAUGGAAUUUUCUUCUUUUCUCUUUUACUUUUAACUCUCUUUUAUUACCAUUACGUUUUAGAUGUAUCAUGCAUUCCUAGUUAUCUCACAUCUAGAGUCUGGUGGGACUCAUCACAUAUUCGGCCAAAGGCCUGUUAUCUACGGAUCAUCAUAGUCGUCCUUGAAACUGGGGUUCCUUAGAACAACCCUCUUUGUCGGUACCGAAGGUAAGACAAAUGGUCAAUCCUAGAAUUCAUUGUCAUAUUAUUUUUGUCAGAAAAUCACGCAUUUCAAACAAAUCAUCGAAUAAGCAUACAUCGAUAUAACUCACAAAAUAAGCAUAAAGUUCAUUUAAUGAUCUUAAUUUACUAAAAAAAACACUUAGGAACAUAAGUAAAAAUACUAAGAAAUUUUUGCUAGAAUUGAGUCGAUCUAGCUCUCCGAAAGCAAGGAAAAACUCUUAGAAAUAUCUUAAGCAAGCUUGAAAUUAUUCCCACUCUUUUUCUUUUUUUCCCUCUCUCUAAAAUCUCUUUAUCUUUCUCUCUCUAGGUUUAGGAAAUUUGAAGAAAAUGGAGAUGGUGAAGGGUGGGGGAGGAGGGGUCCUAUUUAAAAAAAAUCGAUGGCUAGAUUUAAGCCAUGUGGCAAAAAUUCGAUUAGUCAAGAAGGGAGGCAUGGUCGCAAGCCUCAUGUGGCAUGGCCACCCGACGUGACAAGUGGUCAGGUCAGCUGGCAAUAAGCUUACUGCCAACUGUGCGUAGUGCGCGGCAUGGUGCGCAUGCCCUCUGCGCAGGCACCCUACCUUGCGCAGGCGUCCAUACAGCAAACAGUGUGCCACGAGCUUGCAUCUGCCACUAGCUGGCUGCACACGGGCUGGUCGUGCAUGGGUUGGCUAUGCACGAGCUGUGUUUCUGUGGGCGUGGGUUCUGGGAAAUUUUCUCGCUUCCCGUUUCGCCGUCUUCCAUUUCUUCCUGAAUUUUCUUGCAUAAAUAAAAUUCUUGAAAAUAUAAUUAUAAAAGAAACAAAAUUAUUUAAUAACUAUUAACACAUCGAAAUUUCUAGGUCCUAAUAGGAUUAAAUCGUAAAAUAAUUUCUCUUGUUUAAUCACAAAAGUUCAAGGUAUUACAAGUUAUACUUACAAACUUGGAGUGAAUAGAAUUCAAUUCAAGCUCUAAAAUUGUCUCUAAAAACCUCCAUAGAACUUUAAAUGGAAUAAAAAGCGGUUAGCUUUGUAAUGGGGAUGAGUUUUCCUUCGGCCGAAGGUUUUUUUUACUUAAAUGUAUGCAAGUUUUCAAUGAGUAAUCAUGGUUAAAAUAACAUAGGAAGGGAGAUGAUGGCGCUUACCGGUGUAGGUCGCCAUCGCGAGCGACUAAGUGCCUCGGGUGGGACUGUUUUGUCCAUUUCUCUUUUUUUUUGUAAAGAAACACCCUCAUGAAAGGUUAUCCACUCACAUUCACUCUUUUUCCUCUUUUUUCUCUUUCUUUGGAUACGCAUAGUGGUUUCAAAUGUCUUUCUUUCUCUCUCUCUCUCUCUCUCUCUCCUCUAUUUUCUUCUCUGGUUUCUUUUUGGUUGACAGAAGGUAGAGAGGGUUGAGUUUUAUACUCGCCCCCAAUUUUUUCUGGGCCGCACAAUCCUAGCAUACAUGGCGACAUGAAAGCCAUCAAAUUUAAACUCAUUAAGGGCACACAUUUUUGGCUGUUGGAUUGUUUGCCUCCUUUGAUCUGGGUCAUUCAUCCGUAGGUUGUUGGAUAUGCAAGUGAAUGGAUUUGAGCCAUUCGCUCUAGAUGUGUUGAUGGUCGUGCAAUCGACAUUUUGGCUCAGGAAUGUUCUAUCUGCAUAAACUUGUGUGCCCGUGUGGUUGGCCAUAUGUUUAGGUCUGUUGGCACACAUCUCUCACUUAUUGGAUCUUAACCAUGUCAGCUUGUUGAUGUGGCUCUUGUAUAAAGAAUUGCACAAUUGCCCCAAAUCGCCCAAAAUCUUCUCAUUUUAAUCCUCUAUUAUUUACAUAUUUGCCCAUAAAUUUUAAAUUUAAUUUUAAUUAAGUCUAAAAAUUAAUAUUUUAAGUUAUUUUCAAGGUUCUUCACUUAAUUUCCAUAAUUCCUAAUCUUUCUUAAUUUUUUAAAAUAUAACCCAACAGUUAAAUAAACUCCCAAACAUAUAUUUUUUUAUGAAAUUUCCUUUAUUAACACAUUGGGGUGCUACGAAUUUCGACCCUUAAAAACAAUUAGUCCCCUAAAUUGAUACAUAAUUCAAAAUAAACAAUGGUACAUUUUUCGCAGAGUGUUUUCACUUUCCUAAGUAGCUUCACUUUGGGAGUGAUGAUGCCAAGGUACUUUCACCAUGGGGAUAGUCUUGUUCCUCAGCACUCGAUCUUGCUUUUCUAAAAUGGCCAUUGACACCUCUUCAUAAAGACAGGUUUUCUUCAAUUGGAAGUCCCUUAUAGUGUAGUACAUGAGAUGAGUCUGGAUGAUACUUGCGUAACAUAGACACAGGAAAUAGGUUAUGGAUUUUAGUUAAUUUUUGUGGCAAUGUUAGCUGGUAUGCAGAGAUAUCCAUCAUUACAAAAAUUUUAAAUGGUACAAUAAAGCAAGGACUUAAUUUUUCUUUCUUCUUAAACCUCAUGAUGCCCUUAAGUGGUGAUGCUUUCAAAACACAUGAUCACCAAUCUUGAACUCUAUAUCUCUUUUGUGGUUAUUUGUAUAACUCUUUUAUGUGCUUUGAGCUGUAUAAAGAUUCUUUUUUAUUAGGGUAGCCUUGGAGUUAGUUUCUUUGACCAAUUCUAGUCCAGUCAAUUUCCAAUAACCAACAUCUUCCCAACAUAUUAGAGAUCUACAGGCUCUGCUAUAAAAAGCCUCAUAUGGAGCCAUACCAAUGCUGGACUAAAAACCGUUAUUGAAGCAAACUUUAUUAGUGGUAUAUGGUUAUCUCAAUUUCCUCUCGUCUAUAAAACACACGCUUGAAGCAAGUCUGGAUGGUUCUUUCUUAUUGUUCAUUUGUCUGAUGGUGAAAAGUUGUAUUGAAUGAUAGUAUAGUGUCUAGAGUUUGCUGGAGAUUUUUUUAAAUCCUAAAAGUAAAUUGAGAGUCUCUAUCAAAAAUCACUGACACAUGAAUACCAUGGAGAUUUUUGUACUAUCUGGGUGAAUGGUCAUUCUAGAAUUGUGUGCUUUAGAAUGAGCUUCUUCAGGUCCUUAUCAUUGGGAAUGCACAAUCUACCCUUAAAUUAGAGUAAUCCAUCACCAUGAACCAUGAAGUUAGUCUUUAAACCCUGUUUUAUAUCUUUCCUUAAGGUUUACAUAUUAGUGUCAGCCAUUUGAACAUCUUUAAAUUUUUAAAUCAACAUCAGUUGGAUUCUUAUGUUGGUUCCCCACUGGAGUUCUUGAAUUGUCUUUAAAACUUUCACCAUGACUCUUGCCAUCAUACAAAAUCUCUUUCGGUUUAAGGCAUUAACUACUAUAUUUUCCUUGCCUAGAUAGUAGGUGAUGUUACAAUAAAAAUAUUUUAAAUGAUCCAUCCAUCGUUUUUGGCGCAUGUUUAGUUCUUUUUACUUGAGAAGGUACUUGAGACUCUUAUGAUCUAUGAAAAUCUAAAAUGUUUUCCUGUACAGAUAAUGGCUCCAAAGUUUGAGAGCAAAUACUAUAAUAACCAAUUUUAAGUCGUGAGUCGGGUAGUUCUUCUCUUGGUUCUUUAGUUGUCUUGAUCAAUAAGCAAUGACCUUACCAUUCUGCAUUAAAACACAUCCUAAACCAAGUUUUGAGGCAACUUGACAUGGGAGGGUAUGGGGAGGAUCAAAUUAACUCCAAUAACCCACUCAAUGUUAUGCAAGACUGAAACUUAACUAUCUAGAAAACUUCUCCCUAUAAUUGAAUCUACAAUCUUAAAAGGAAUGAAAAAAUAAAGAUUAAAAAAAAUAAAAUUUCUGAAGACUCCUGCUCCUUAAAGAACUUGAAGAAGCUAAAUUAGCAACAAACUAAUUGAAGAAAAACCUAAACUUUCACAAAUUGAUUGUAAUUAGUAUGUUUACAACUUAUGAACAAAGAACUAUUUAUAGCCUUUCUGAGAUACUUUUAAAUGAUUACAAUCUCUUGAAGAAAUUAAUAAAAUAAUAUUGUAGAUAAAAUUCUAUCAAAUUUUAGGAUAAUUAUAUAAUAAAAUAUUUAUUUUAUCCAAUCUAAAUACAAGAUAAUUAAUUAAAUAAUCCUAAAGAUAGAAUUUACAUUAAACUAAUAAUAAAAUAAGGUCUUAGGAUUAAAAUUAUGUAAUAAAAUAAUAACAUAGGAUAUCCCUAAGGUUAAGAUAUUAUAUAAUUUAAUCCCUAGAUAGAUGUAAGAUUUAAAUGCAUUAAAUAAUAAGGGAUAAUUACAAUGUGAAUUUGCUGAAUUGGGGCUUAAAAAUCACAUGGAGCAUGUGGUUAAAAGAAAUUCAGGAACACACCACCUGCACCCGCGCGCGGCCUUUGGGCCCAGCCCAUACCCAAGGGCGGCCUUCGAGCCCAGCCCAUACCCGUGCACAGCCUUCUGGCCUUAUAGCCUUGUGGCUCGCCUGACUUCCUCAUCGAUUGGCUCGUGGCUGCUGCUGGGCUGGCUAUUACGGCUGGCUUACUAGGUUGUUCGGUUUGCCUGACGAUUCUUCUUCGGGUGUGGACCCAUUGAGUCAGGUCUCGGGAUGAGGGCCGACCCUCGGGUCUUCUUGGUGAUCCCCCAUCAGCCCACCUCUUCGGGUGUGUGGCUUGGGUCGUAUGUUCUCCUUGGGUGCUCAGCUUGUUAGCCUGUAGGUUGGGCCUAGUAGGCCGUGGGCGGGUUUGGUGACUUAGGUCUCACCCAUGGUUGCUUUCCCUCCAUGCGCAACCUAGGUUUCUUCGUCUUCUUGUAUCAAUUCAAAAGGCCACAACUCAUCAUCUUUGAUGCUUCCUUAGACUUGUUGUCUUGGUGGCCCAUAAGGCUUCUUGGUCUUGAUGGCAUCAAUGAUCCACUUUAUCUAAUCUAAACUUGCACAAACUAGAUCUUUGGGCUUCACGGGAUUGGGCCUUAUCGUUGAAUCUCAACUCCAUUUUCUUGGUACAGGUUUCUUUUCGGUUUUAUCUCCAGGUUGGCAUGAAUUUUGAUUGUUGCUUACUGAGUAAUUGGAAUGCCUUCCUACAGUCACGUCAUCCCCCCUUUUUUCAAAAGGAGUCGUCAUUAAAUCCAUCUCACUACUGCAUAAUGAUCCUAGAUAUAACAAAGAAAAGUAGUGAAAGGCGUUAGGAUGGUACUGGGAUUUAGUGGAAUAUAUGUGCAUAUGGAAUUGCACUAAUGUCUCGGCGCCAAAAUUCAUGUUAUCCUACUACACUCAUGUUUGCUUUCUACUCUUUCUUUUUUGGUCAAGUUAAGCGUCGGAGUUGGGAUCCCCUUAGUCGAGUCCCUGGAAGUUAAAAAAUUUUGCAAGAAAAAGGUUCCUAACAGACUAUAGAUUCCCAAAUUGUGCAAGCACAAAUGGAUUGUCAAUGCAAUAUGAAUGAUGCAGAUGGAAUGAAAACAUAAUUUUUAACUCGCACCUAGUAGAUGAUUUACUCUUCCUCUCGGUUGUUUUUUUGAUAAUCUAAUAGGUGGUUACUUUACUUUUGCCAUGCAAGAUACAAACAAUGUAUCAAUUACCUUAUAGGGUAUAACUGGAAUAUUUUGUAGUUUUGAUAUAUAGAAUUUUUUUUAACACGAACCACUUGAAUUGAACAGAUAGAUAUGAAUUGUUAAUUUGAAGUGUUAAUUAAAGUAUAAAAAUGUUGAAAGCAAUAAAGGUAGAUUAUGGUUUUAGGAGCCUAAGCUCUGGUACCACAUGACACGGAAGGGUACGAAGAUAAUCAAAUCAACUCUUAUAACCCACUCAACGUUAUGCAAUAUCGAAACUUAACCGCCUAGAAAAUCUAUUCCUUUAAUUGAAUCUAUAAUCCUAAAAGGAAUAAAAAAACAAAGGUUAGAAAAAGUAAAAUAAGAAAAGAAAAAAUGCCACGAACUUACUGAUAAGUUGAUCCCCCUUCCUUGACUCUACAAGACUUCUGAAGAUUCCUGCUCCUUGAAGAACUUGAAGAAGCUAAAUUAACAAAACUUUAAUUGAAAAAAAGCCUAAACUUUCAAGAAUUUCUCUCAAAUUGAUUGUAAUUAGUGUGUUUAUGACCUAUGGACAAAGGUCUAUUUAUAUCCUUCUCCGUGAUACAAUUUCUUGAAGAAAUUAAAAUAAAAUAAUAUACUAAAUAAAAUUCUAAGAUAAUUACAUAAUAAAAUAUUUAUUCUAUCCCAUCUAAAUACAAGAUAAUUAAUUAAAAUACUAAUAGGAUAAGGUCUUAAGAUUAAAAUUACAUAAUAAAAUAAUAGUUUAGGGUAUCCCUAAGGUUAAAAUAUUAUAUAAUUUAAUUCCUGAAUAGAUUUAAAAUUGAAGUACAUUAAAUAAUAAUAAUUAAAUAAUAGGGGAUAAUUACCAUGUGAAUUUGCUGAAUUGGGGCUCAAAAAUCACAUGGAACAUGUGAUGAAAAGAAGUCCUAGAGCACACAUCUCUUCCCCUUCCCCCACACACAUCACACAAUUCACUCGUGCGAGCUAAGGAAGCCUGCACGCAUGCGCGAAGACUUCGGGUCUUACAGCCUCGCGGCCUACUCGGCUUCCUCCUCGGUUGACUUGCGGCUGCUGCUGGGUUGGCUAUUGUGGCUGGCUUGCUGAGUCGUUUGGUUGGCCCAACGAUUUCUUCUUUAGGUGCGGACCCAUUGGGUUAGGUCUCGGGAUGAGGGCCGACCCUUGGGUCUCCUCGAUGGGCCCCCGUCAGCCCACCUCUCGGAGCAUGCGGCUUGGGCCGCUCAUUCUCCUUGGACGCGUGGCCUGCUAGCCCGCGGGUUGGGCUUAGUGGGCCGUGGGGUGGGUCGGGUGACUUGGGUCACUCACUUACGGGUGCUUUCCCUCCAUGUGCGACCUCAGUUUCUUCAUCUUCCUUGAUCAAUUUGAAAGCCCACAACUCAUCAUCUUUGAUGCUUCCUUAGGCAUAUUGUCUUGGCGGCCCAUAAGGCUUUCCAAUCUUGAUGGCAUCGAUGAUCCACCUUACCCGAUCUAAGCUUGUACGAAUCAAAUCCUUAGGCUUCAUAAGAUUGGGCCUUGUCGUAGAAUCUCGACUCUAUUUUCUCGGUACGAGCUUCUUUUGGGUUUUGUUUAUAGGUUAGUUCGAAUUCUGAUUUUUGCUUACCCGGUAACUAGAAUGCCUUCCUACGAUCACAUCAUAAUUAUAUACACUGUAUAAUCCCAAAAAUCGCUGGUUAACGUAUUGGAGCAAUAACAAGCCAGUUCUUAAGUUCUUUAAAAAAGUUCUCACAAUCAUCAAUCGAUUCAAACUUUAUAUCUUUUCUGAUAAGCCGAGUAAAAGGAGCUGCAAUCUUGGAGAAUCGCUCAACGAACCUGAUAUAAUAACUCGCUAAUCCUAGGAAGCUUCGAAUCUUUGAAACAAUGGUGGGAUGUUUUCAGUUCAUUAUAGUUUCAAUCUUAACAUAAUCCAUUGUUAUCCCAUCCUUAAAGACCACAUGUCCAAGGAAGAAGAUCUAUUUGAGUCAUAAUUCACAUUUAUUCUACUUAACAUACAGUUUCUCUCUUUUGGGGAUCCCUAACACACAUCUCAAGUGUUCAACAUGUUCAUAUAUGCUCUUGGAGUAAAUUAGAAUGUCAUCGAUGAACAUAAUGAUAAAUUUGUCCAGAUAGGGUCUGAAUACCCGAUUCAUCAGAUCCAUAAAUAUCGCUUGUGCAGUAGUUAAUCUAAAAGGUAAGACUCGAAAUUCAUAAUGGCCAUACUUUAUUUUGAAUGCGGUCUUUAGAAUAUCUUCUGCAUUGAUCUUUAUAUGGUGAUAUCUGGACCUCAAAAUCAAUUUUAGAAAACACGUACGUACCCUGCAAUUGGCCGAAGAGAUCAUUAAUUCUUGGAAAAGGAUACUUGUUUUUGAUGGGGACUUGGUUGAGUUCCCUAUAAUUAAUACAUAAUCGUUGAGUAUCAUCCUUCUUUUUCACAAACAAUACUAGUGUACCCUAAUGAGAAAUACUAGGGCAAGCAUAUCUUUUAUCCAAGGGUUCUUGCAAUUGUUUUUAUAACUCAUUUAAUUCAGCUAUUGCCAUUCUACAAGGGGUAAUAUAAGUGGGUUAAGUAUUGGACAAAAGAUCAAUGGAGAACUCAAGCUCAUGAUCUUAUGAUAACCUUGAUAGUUCUUCAGAAAACAUAUAAGGAAAUUCUCGAACCACUAGGAUUUCCUAGAGGUUAACCUCUUUUUGAUCUUUGCCUAUCACAUCAUUUUUACAGUAGUUAGUUUAGGCAUUUGAAUUAGUUCAUUUUAUAGUUUAAUAUUCAUAAAGUUAUUAACUACUAUUUACAAGAAAUAAAUUAGGAAGAAAAAGGUUUUUCAUAAGGAAAUUUGAAUACAACCUUUUUGUUGUAGUAGUCUACAUUUGUAUGGUCGGCUGUUAGCCAAUCCAUUCCUAAAAUUACAUUAAAGUCUUUAAUUCAUAAAAGUAUUAAGUCUACUUCUAAUUCCUUUCUUGAUAUUUCUAUUAGACAGGAUUUAUACACAAGAUUAAAAAUUAAAACAUCAUUAGUAGGUAUGGAAACCAUCAAGACUUUAUCCAAAGAAACAUGUGUGACACUCAAUUAUGGUGUAAAAGUGGGUGAUAAGAAUGAGUGAGUGGAUUCAGAAUCAAUUAAUACAUGUGUAGGAGUCUUAGAGAUAAGAUAAUGUUACCUUGGAUGACAUCUGGGUUAACUUCUGCAUUAGGUGAUGUGCGAGCAACACUCUGACCUUAGUUGCUUGUGCAGCUUACCCCUAGCGAAAUGGAUAGUCAUAGAUCUUAUGCUGGGUAUUCCCACACUUGAAGCAUGAAUUGGUGUCAUGACAAUACCAUGAUUAUUACCAUAAUGGGGGCACCCUGUAGUCUAUUGUAUAACAACAACAUAUCAUAGAAGUUGAGCAAUGGUAAUCCUGAGUCUCUUAAAUGGGAAACAAAAGCAGGGUUUGCCCUUUUCUAGGGCAAGGGAGCUCUGGAAUUUCCUACUGAAGGUGUGGAACUUCUGGUCAGUCCCUCAAUCACAUGGACCUUUUCCAUCAAGGCUUGAAAUUCAUUAACCUCGAACAUGGAAACCUUUUUAAAGAUCUCUAGUCUCAAGUUCUCCUGAAAUCGGCAAGUUUUUUCCCUCAUUAGACAUAACUUCAUAUGUAUAUCUGCCAAGCUCAAGGAACUUCUUUGUAUACUCAUCCACUGUCAUGCCCUCUUGUUUCAAGUUGGAGAACUCUUUUUUUUUCUUGUGGUGAACAAAGUCUGGAAGUGUCUUAAAAGAUUUGAAGCUCAAUUAUAUUAUAUUAACAAUGAUGAAUUAAAUAUAAGAGCAUCAUAGUAGAAAUAGUGAUGUGGAACUCCAAGACCCUUGCUUGAACCUUAGAACUCUUCAAUUGGUUUAGAACAGAAUUUAGAUUACAAGUAAAAAAGGAAUCAAAUUUGUUCAAUCACCCAAAUGGUAAAAGUUAAAUAGAACUCAAGAAAAAUAAAUAAUAUUCCUUGAACCCAAUCCAAACAAGCACCAAGAAAAAUUGAAAUAAGAAAUCAAAAUUGAAAAAUAAGUGAUAAUAAUUGUAUUCCAAAUCAACACCUUGUGCAUAAAGUGAAAAGAAAGCCAAAACGCUCUCAACUCAAUUCUGAAAUAUUUGAUUACAACUCUUGAUGUCCACAAAGAAGAGUUCCUUUGGUAUUUAAAGCUAAAGAAAUCAAUGAUAAGUUACAACACAAUGACUACAAUUGUAACUCCCACGAUAACUAGGCUAAUUAUGUGAUAAUUACAAUUGUAACUCCAACAAUAAUUAGGCUAAUUGCAUGUAAUUGUUAUGUAACUCCUUGUAACUUCAAUCUUCUUAACCAACACCACUAAUUGUUUGUGGCACCAUAUAGUUAUGGGCUCAUUCUCGUAAUAACACUAAGACAAGAGUUAAUCCCAAAAUGAGUUACAUUUGACUAUAUGGGCUUAAUUAACUCAAACUAAAAUAAAACAAUCCAAAAUACUUAAAAUAACUCAACUAAUCCAGUCCAUACAUAAGGCUUAUUCACUCAUUACCAAUAAGACUCAAAUAAGCCCAAAUUAUCCCAAAUCACUUAAACCUAAUUAAAAUUACGAAUUUGGUCUGUUCAAAAAGCUCAUAUUUGAACUUUCUAUAAUUGACCAGCCCAUCAUCCAUAUAUUUUUGAGUGAAAACUUGGAGCAACUCUUUAAGUUUCUUUGCCUUUGAUUUUGUUAUUAGUCUGCUGAAACUUUCUAAGUUUGGAACUCUAUUUGUGUUUACAUCAUUUGAAAUUUGCUCCAAGUCACCUUUUGAUGCUCUUUGAGUAUCUUGAGUGUUUUUAGCCUUAUUUGCAUCAUUCCUCCUCCCCUCAAAAGGAUUCGUCCUCGAAUCAAUUCCUGCAUCAAUUUAAAAAGGGGAUAAAUCAGAUAUGUUAAAUGUAGUCGAAACACUAUACUCACCCGGUAGGUCCACUUUGUAGGCGUUUUCAUUGAUUUUGGCUAUGAUUUGAAAUGGACCAUCCCCAUGAGCAUCCAACUUAGAUGUUCGUUUUGAUGAAAAUCGUUCCUUGCGCAUAUAAACCCACACCUAAUCUUCGGGUUCAAAUGAAAUCUUGCGCCUUCCUUUAUUGACAUGGGAUGCUACUUGUUCAUUUUUCUUUUCAAUGUUCUGCCUUGCUUUUUCAUGAAUUACUUUAACCAUUUUUGCUUUCUUAUGUCCAUCCAAAUUAGAAAUGUCACUUAUAGAAAUAGGCAACAAAUCAAGUGGAGUUAAGGGAUUAAAACCAUACAUAAUUUCAAAAGGAGAAAACCCAGUAAAAGAAUGUAUACUUCGAUUAUAAGCAAAUUCAACAAAUGAUAGCAUAUCUUCCCAAGUUUUAAUAUUCCUUCCAAUUAAAACACGUAAUAAUGUACCAAGUGUUCUAUUUACUACUUCAGUUUGACCAUCUGUUUGUGAAUGUGAAGUAGUAGAAAAUAAAAGUUUGGUCCCAAGUUUGGACCACAAAACUCGUCAAAAGUGGCUUAAAAACUUAACAUCUCUAUUGGACACAAUGGUUUUAAGAAUGCCAUGCAUUCUAACAACUUUACGGAAAAACAAAUCCGCUAUGUGUGUGGCAUCAUCUGUUUUGUGACAUGGUAUAAAGUGUGACAUUUUAGAAAAAAUGAUCAACAACAACAAAUAUUGAGUCUCGGCCUUUUCUAUUCCUAGGCAAACCCAACAAAAAGUCCAUAAAAAUAUCAACCCAAGGAUGUGUAAGAAUGGGUAAUGGCAUAUAUAAUCAAUGUGGUUGAACUCUAGACUUAGCUUGCCUACAUGAGAUGCACUGCGCACAAAUUUUCUCAACAUAUUUGCGCAUAUUAGGCCAAAGAAAUGUUCAUGUAAAAUGCUCAAAGUUUUGUCAAUACCAAAAUGUCCCAUUAAACCACUACUAUGUACUUCACAAACAAACAACUUCUUAAUAGAACUAUUAGGCACACAUAAUUUUCUAUUUUUAAAUAGAAAACCAUCAUGCCUAUAAAAGUUUUGAAAUGCCGCAUGUUCACAAGCCACAUAAACAUUUGAAAAAUCAUUAUCAUGCACAUACAAUUCUUUGAAAUGCUCAAAUCCCAACGACUUUGUAGAAAGAGUAGAGAUAACUGUACCUUCUUGAAAGCACAUCAGCUACAAUAUUUUCUUUUCCUUGUUUAUAUUGAAUCACAUAUGGGAAGGACUCUAUAAAUAUUCCACCCAUUUUGCAUGUCAUUUAUUAAGCUUGCCUUGCCCUUUCAAAUGCCUCAAAGACUCAUGAUCGGUGUGAAUCACAAAUUCCUUUGGUAACAAAUAAUGUUGCCAUGUCUCUAAUGCUCUUACCAAAGCAUAAAACUCUUUAUCAUAGGUAGAAUAAUUUAAUUGUGUACUAUUGAGCUUCUCACUGAAGUAAGCAAUGAGUCUUUUAUCUUGCAUAAGAACAGCACAUAUCCCAAGUCUAGAGGCAUCACAUUCAAUUUCAAAAGUUGAAUCAAAAUUAGGCAAUCUUAAUAAAGGUGCAUUACAUAACUUUUCUUUCAAUAAGAAAAAUGCAUGUUCUUGUUCUUUUCCCCAAACAAACCCCUUAUCUUUUUUCAUGAUUUCAGUUAAAGGGGCAGCAACGGUGUUAAAUUUUUUUACAAAUCUCCUAUAAAAACUUGCCAAACCAUGAAAACUACGCACCUCACUUAUACUUUUAGGUGUCGACCACUCUUGAAUAGCCUUUACCUUUUCACUAUCUACCUCGAUUUUUUUUGCACUCACGAUAUAUCCUAAGAAAAUGAUGCGAUCAAUACAAAAUGUACAUUUUUUCAUGUUAGCAUAUAGUUGAAAUUUGCGCAAUGUGUCAAACACUUGCCUCAAAUACAUGACACACUCAUCAAUAAAUUUUCUAUACACAAGAAUAUCAUCAAAGUAGACAACCAUAAACUUUCUAAUAAAUUCACGUAAAACAUGGUUCAUUAAACACAUGAAAGUACUUGGCGCAUUAGUUAAGCUAAAUGGCAUAACCAACCACUCAUAUAACCCUUGUUUUGUUUUAAAAGUAGUUUUCCAUUCAUCUCCUGGUUUCAUUCUUAUUUAGUGAUAACCACUUUUAAGAUCAAUUUUAGAAAAUACACAAGCACCAUGCAACUCAUCUAACAUAUCAUCAAGUCGAGGUAUUGGGUGUCGAUAUUUUACCGUUAUUUUGUUGACGGCUCUACAAUCAACACACAUACGCCAACUACCAUCUUUUUUGGGUACUAAUAAGACGGGCACUGCACAUGAGCUUAAACUUUCUCGAAUGUGCCCUUUUUGUAAGAACUCCUCCACUUGCCUUUGAAGCUCUU
rnacentral:lncRNA from 1 species